rnacentral:rRNA from 1 species
AUUGAACGCUGGCGGCAGGCCUAACACAUGCAAGUCGAGCGGAGCGGCGGACGGGUACGUAAUGCCUAGGAAUCUGCCUGGUCGUGGGGGAUAACGUCCGGAAACGGGCGCUAAUACCGCAUACUAUCAGAUGAGCCUAGGUCGGAUUAGCUUGUUGGUGGGGUAAAGGCCUACCAAGGCGACGAUCCGUAACUGGUCUGAGAGGAUGAUCAGUCACACUGGAACUGAGACACGGUCCAGACUCCUACGGGAGGCAGCAGUGGGGAAUAUUGCACAAUGGGCGCAAGCCUGAUGCAGCCAUGCCGCGUGUAUGAAGAAGGCCUUCGGGUUGUAAAGGACUUUCAGCGAGGAGGCGUUACUCGAAGAAGAAGCACCGGCUAACUCCGUGCCAGCAGCCGCGGUAAUUC